CGAGAACUCCCGAGCGAAGCAACAAAACCAUCAAAUAUGGCUGAGCCUCUCGGCUCGUCCUGCAGCCGCCGCGGCCGCGGCCUGAGACGCGCACCCCGACCCGCGCGCCCCCGCGCCUCCGCCCCCGCGUACCUGCUGCGCACGGGCUGGGCCUCCGCGGGCUGCGCGCCGCGCCGCAUGGGUCCGGGCCACCGAGGCCCCGCGGGGAGCCGGGCGGGCCCCUGCUGUCGCCCGCGCGCUCGGCCGGCCCGGCGCGCCCAGGCCCUCCCGGUAGGGCGUGCGGCUGGCGGCGGAGGAAGCGCGGGGACGCAGACUCAUUUCUGGGUCACUGCUGCCACAGGGGGGAGCACUUUAAUCCCCAGCCAAAGGAGAGGGUGGGGACAGUGGGGCGGGGAGCCGCUGGUAGGGGCUUGCUCCCGUUAACUCUUGGGGUCCUGACUGCAGCCAGAGGGGCUCUCCCCCGUCACCCACCUCUGGAGCCCGCAAACCCUCCAGGUGUCUCCUAGGAGGAAGGAAACAAAGCAAAGCAGCAGAAAUCCUAAAUGUGUGUGCUCUUUCUCCCUCUCCCAUUUCCUUAACAAGGAGCAUAAAGACUCCCUCCCUGACAGGGUCUCUGCUGCGCUCACUCAGUCCUGCUCAGAACAAGUGAGGUGC
rnacentral:lncRNA from 1 species